rfam:Operophtera brumata OBRT01_Sc00864, whole genome shotgun sequence.
UGAAAGGCCCUUUUAAGGGCCACCAUACUUCAAGCAGAUGUCAU